rnacentral:rRNA from 1 species
ACAAGGUUCCGUAGUGACCUGCGGAAGGAUCAUUA